UCAAUCCACAUUUAAAGGGCGAGGUUGCCCCUGUCUCUUUAAAUAAGUUUGCAGAGAUUGCUAACAGUUGCUUACAUGGCCAAGGAAUUGUACGCCC